GCCCAAGAGAUCGGGAUAACACCUGGAAACAGAUGCUAAUACCGGAUAACAACAGAUGAUGCCUAUCAACUGUUUAAAAGAUGGUUCUGCUAUCACUCUUGGAUGGACCUGCGGUGCAUAGCUAGUUGGUAGGGUAACGGCCUACCAAGGCGAUGAUGCAUAGCCGAGUUGAGAGACUGAUCGGCCACAUUGGGACUGAGACACGGCCCAAACUCCUACGGGAGGCAGCAGGU
rnacentral:rRNA from 1 species